UGGGGAAUAUUGGGCAAUGGGGGCAACCCUGACCCAGCAACGCCGCGUGAAGGAAGAAGGCUUUCGGGUUGUAAACUUCUUUUACCAGGGACGAAGGACGUGACGGUACCUGGAGAAAAAGCCACGGCUAACUACGUGCCAGCAGCCGCGGUAAUACGUAGGUGGCAAGCGUUGUCCGGAUUUACUGGGUGUAAAGGGCGUGUAGGCGGAGCUGCAAGUCAGAUGUGAAAUUCCGGGGCUCAACCCCGGAACUGCAUUUGAAACUGUAGCCCUUGAGUAUCGGAGAGGCAGGCGGAAUUCCUAGUGUAGCGGUGAAAUGCGUAGAUAUUAGGAGGAACACCAGUGGCGAAGGCGGCCUGCUGGACGACAACUGACGCUGAGGCGCGAAAGCGUGGGGAGCAAACAGGAUUAGAUACC
rnacentral:rRNA from 1 species